CUCUCUGACGUGUGUGUUUGUGUCUGUGUGUGCGUGCAUUUGUGUAUCUGUGGGUCACCUAGGUGAUGGCGUGGUGUUUGAUCGAUUUGUUGGAUCCGCAUUGGUGACGGUGUGACGGUUUGUAAGUCUGUGAUCUGUGUUGGAGUGGAGGUGAAACACAGAGUUACACUCAAACCACAGUGUGUACUCGCUUAUAGUUGUUUCAGAACGAGGUUCUCGGCACUCUGCAGCGAGGUCUGGAGGAGAACAUCAGCUGUGACAAUCUGGUUCUGGAGAUCAACUCGCUCAAUUGUUGAAGAAGUGGUCUCCAGUGUUUAAGAACUAUGUGAAGCGAGCUCAGGAGCACUGUCUCUCCACUCUGGAGGAAGUGUUCAUAGAGCACGACAGACACUGGCCUGCUCUCGC